rnacentral:lncRNA from 1 species
CACUGCUGGUGAGAAUGCAAACUAGUUCAGCCACUAUGGAAAACAAUAUGGAGAUUUCUCAAAAAGUUAAAAAUAGAAAUACCAUAUGACCCAGCUAUGCCACUAUUGGAUAUUUAUCCAAAGAACUUGAAAUCAACAAUUCAGAGACUUCUGCACUCCUAUGUUCGUUGCAGCCCUAUUCACUAUAGCCAAGACAUGGAAGCAACCCAAGUGCCCAUUGACUGAUGGUUGGAUAAAGAAGAUGUGGUGUAUAUAUAUAUAUAUAUAUAUAUAUAUAUAUACAAUGGAAUACUACUCAGCCAUGAAAAAGACAAAAUCAUCCCAUUUGCAACAUCAUGGAUCGACCUUUUCUGGAGGCUGAGAAGUCCAAGAUCAUGGUGCCAGCAGAUUUGGUGUCUGGGGAGACACAGCUUCUCCAUUGAUGGCCAUCUCCUCACUGUAACCGGCAUGAUGGACGGGGCAAGGGAGUUUCCUCAGGCCUCUUUGAUGAAGGAAAUGACAGUGCCCAACAAGAACAUAAGCUCCUUGAAGCAAAAACGUAACCAUCUGUCACUGCUGACACUUACAGGAAGCUUCAAAGUCUACUGCACCAACGACAUGUGGGAGUCUUGAGCUGGACUCUGGAAUCACGGAGUUGUCAAUUUCAGGAAGUGGGUGAGACCUGGAGACACGGAGCAACGAACCUGGGUCUGUAUAACGAG